rnacentral:rRNA from 1 species
GGGGGCACCCUGAACGCAGCAAUGCCGCGUGGAUGAAGAAGGCCUUCGGGUUGUAAAGUCCUUUCGUGGGGGACGAAAAGGCGGGUCCUAAUACGAUCUGCUGUUGACGUGAACCCAAGAAGAAGCACCGGCUAACUCCGUGCCACCAGCCGCGGUAAUACGGGGGGUGCAAGCGUUAAUCGGAAUCACUGGGCGUAAAGGGUGCGUANGCGGUACGUUAGGUCUGUCGUGAAAUCCCCGGGCUCAACCUGGGAAUGGCGGUAGAAACCGGCGCACUAGAGUAUGGGAGAGGGUGGUGGAAUUCCAGGUGUAGCGGUGAAAUGCGUAGAGAUCUGGAGGAACAUCAGUGGCGAAGGCGGCCACCUG